rnacentral:lncRNA from 1 species
AGGCCCUUCCGCACCCCCAAACAACCUCGCACCACCUGAAAGCGGGGAGCUUGAGUUUGGGGCUGCGUAGAUCAAAGCAGGGGACCACGUGGGAGAAUUUGAAGGGCUGAUCCUGUCCCGGUGCAUUCGCAGUAGCAAUGAUGCGAGAAUUCGUUUUAACCUCGUCACUGACUGGACUAGACUGUAAACUCCUUGGCGUCUGGGAUGGCUCAGCCGUGCCCAGCACCAAGUGCAGGCACUCAAACCCCUGUGGAGUAAGUGACUGGAUGAAUGAAUGCAUUGGAACUGUUCACUGAGUAUCUGUAACAAUUUUGAUCCCAUGGUUUGGUACAAAGAAUUUUAUUGCAGUAUGAAAUUAAAUGGUGUUUGUGUGUU